UACAGAGGGUGCAAGCGUUAAUCGGAAUUACUGGGCGUAAAGCGUGCGUAGGUGGUUACUUAAGUCAAAUGUGAAAGCCCCGGGCUCAACCUGGGAACUGCACGUGAUACUGAGUAACUAGAGUAUGGUAGAGGAUGGCGGAAUUUCCGGGUGUAGCGGUGAAAUGCGUAGAUAUCGGAAGGAACACCAGUGGCGAAGGCGGCCGUCUGGGCCAAUACUGACACUGAGGCACGAAAGCGUGGGUAGCAAACAGG
rnacentral:rRNA from 1 species